rnacentral:rRNA from 1 species
AGUCAAUAGAUACCCAGGUAGUCCCAGCUGUAAACGAUGCGCGUUAGGUGUAUCGGUGACCACGAGUCACCGAGGUGCCGAAGAGAAGUCGUGAAACGUGCCGCCUGGGAAGUACGGUCGCAAGGCUGAAACUUAAAGGAAUUGGCGGGGGAGCACCACAACAGGUGGAGCCUGCGGUUUAAUCGGACUCAACGCCGGGAAGCUCACCGGAUAAGACAGCUGAAUGAUAGCCGGGUUGAAGACUCUGCUUGACUAGCUGAGAGGAGGUGCAUGGCCGUCGUCAGUUCGUACUGUGAAGCAUCCUGUUAAGUCAGGCAACGAGCGAGACCCACGCCAACAGUUGCCAGCAUGUCCUCCGGGAUGGUGGGGACACUGUUGGGACCGCCUCUGCUAAAGAGGAGGAAGGAAUGGGCAACGGUAGGUCAGCAUGCCCCGAAUUAUCCGGGCUACACGCGGGCUACAAUGGUCAGGACAAUGGGUAUCAACACCGAAAGGUGAAGGCAAUCUCCUAAACCUGUCCUUAGUUCGGAUU